rnacentral:rRNA from 1 species
AGAACGAACGUUAGCGGCACGCUUAAUACAUGCAAGUCGAACGAGAAGCCCUUCGGGGUGGACAGUGGCGCACGGGUGAGGAACACGUAGAUAAUCUACCCUCGAGUGGUGGAUAACGUUCCGAAAGGAGCGCUAAUACAGCAUAAGACCACCAGCCUUCGGGCGAGUGGCCAAAGCGGAGGACCUCUUCGGAGGCUUGGCGCUUGAGGAUGAGUCUGCGGCCCAUCAGUUAGUUGGUAGUGUAAUGGACUACCAAGGCUAAGACGGGUAGCUGGUCUGAGAGGAUGGACAGCCACACUGGAACUGAGACACGGUCCAGACUCCUACGGGAGGCAGCAGUAGGGAAUCUUGCGCAAUGGGCGAAAGCCUGACGCAGCGAUGCCGCGUGAGCGAUGAAGGCCUUCGGGUUGUAAAGCUCUGUGGAUGGAGACGAAUAAGCGAUGGUUAAUACCCAUUGUGAUGACGGUAUCCAUUUAGCAAGCACCGGCUAACUCUGUGCCAGCAGCCGCGGUAAGACAGAGGGUGCAAACGUUGUUCGGAAUUACUGGGCGUAAAGCGCGUGUAGGCGGCUUUGUAUGUCGGAUGUGAAAUCCCGUGGCUCAACCAUGGAAGUGCAUCCGAAACUGCAAGGCUAGAGUAUCGGAGAGGAAGGUGGAAUGCUUGGUGUAGAGGUGAAAUUCGUAGAUAUCAAGCGGAACACCGGUGGCGAAGGCGGCCUUCUGGACGAUUACUGACGCUGAGACGCGAAAGCGUGGGUAGCAAACAGGAUUAGAUACCCUGGUAGUCCACGCCGUAAACGAUGAGUGCUAGGUGUCAGAGGCUUUGACCCUUUUGGUGCCGUAGUUAACGCGUUAAGCACUCCGCCUGGGGAGUACGGCCGCAAGGCUA